rnacentral:rRNA from 1 species
GAUGAACGCUAGCGGGAGGCCUAACACAUGCAAGCCGAGCGGUAUUGUUUCUUCGGAAAUGAGAGAGCGGCGUACGGGUGCGGAACACGUGUGCAACCUGCCUUUAUCUGGGGGAUAGCCUUUCGAAAGGAAGAUUAAUACUCCAUAACAUAUUGAACGGCAUCGUUUGAUAUUGAAAGCUCCGGCGGAUAGAGAUGGGCACGCGCAAGAUUAGCUAGUUGGUGAGGUAACGGCUCACCAAGGCGAUGAUCUUUAGGGGGCCUGAGAGGGUGAUCCCCCACACUGGUACUGAGACACGGACCAGACUCCUACGGGAGGCAGCAGUGAGGAAUAUUGGUCAAUGGGUGCAAGCCUGAACCAGCCAUCCCGCGUGAAGGACGACUGCCCUAUGGGUUGUAAACUUCUUUUGUAUAGGGAUAAACCUACCCUCGUGAGGGUAGCUGAAGGUACUAUACGAAUAAGCACCGGCUAACUCCGUGCCAGCCGCCGCAGUAACAC